rnacentral:sRNA from 1 species
GGCUGUAAGGAUGUACUCCGCUACACCACCUUCUCAGCCUCAACCAAAGCAAUCGCGGCAACAACAGUACCCUUCUCAACAGCCACCGGCCUACAACUACCCUCAUCAAGGAUAUGGCCAAAUGGGACAAAUGGGACAUGGAAGUUUGCCGAUGGAUACUCGAGGAAUUCAGCAGCAGCCGCAAAAUAUGGGAACAAUGAUGGGACGGCAAGUUCCACUGCAGCAACAAGCUGCCGCCGGGCAAAUGAAUGCCCAUGGAAUGCCUAUGGAUAACCGAUCUAUGAACAGUGGCCAGAUGCAGCAUUUGGAUAACCGCAUGGGAUCUCAACAAAUGACGACUAAUCAAAGACCGAUGGGAAUGGAAAGUCACAAUAUGGGCCAGCUAGGAAACAAUCAAAUGGGAUCCAUGGGAAGCAUGAACAGCUCAAUGAGCAACUCCAUGGCGUCUAUGGGCGGUAUGAUGAGUGAUCGGACGAUGGGUACUCAGCAACAUCAAAUGAUGGGACAACAUCAACAACAACAAUC